rnacentral:rRNA from 1 species
UACGUAGGGUGCAAGCGUUGUCCGGAAUUAUUGGGCGUAAAGAGCUCGUAGGCGGUUUGUCGCGUCUGCUGUGAAAACUCAGGGCUUAACCCUGAGCCUGCAGUUGGUACGGGCAGACUAGAGUGUGGUAGGGGAGAUCGGAAUUCCUGGUGUAGCGGUGAAAUGCGCAGAUAUCAGGAGGAACACCGAUGGCGAAGGCAGGUCUCUGGGCCACUACUGACGCUGAGAAGCGAAAGCGUGGGGAGCGAACAGG